rnacentral:rRNA from 1 species
UACGUAGGGUGCGAGCGUUGUCCGGAAUUAUUGGGCGUAAAGGGCUCGUAGGCGGUCUGUCACGUCGAAAGUGAAAACUCAGGGCUUAACCCUGAGCCUGCUUCCGAUACGGGCAGACUAGAGGUAUGCAGGGGGAGAAUGGAAUUCCUGGUGUAGCGGUGAAAUGCGCAGAUAUCAGGAGGAACACCAGUGGCGAAGGCGGUUCUCUGGGCAUUACCUGACGCUGAUGCGCGAAAGCGUGGGUAGCAAACAGG